UCGCAUCUGUGCAUGCAGCAUAUCAAUAAGCGGAGGAAAAGAAACUAACAAGGAUUCCCCUAGUAACGGCGAGUGAAGCGGGAAGAGCUCAAAUUUGAAAUCUUAAAGGGUUUCCCUUUACGAAUUGUAGUUUAAAGAAGUGUUUUCUGUUGAGGUUUUGGUAAAAGUUCUUUGGAAUAGGACAUCAUAGAGGGUGAGAAUCCCGUAUUUGACCUUUACUUUCAACUUUGUGAUACACUUUCAAAGAGUCGGAUUGCUUGGGAAUGCAGUCCAAAAUGGGUGGUAAAUUUCAUCUAAAGCUAAAUAUUGGCGAGAGACCGAUAGCGAACAAGUACCGUGAGGGAAAGAUGAAAAGAACUUUGAAAAGAGAGUUAAACAGUACGUGAAAUUGUCAAAAGGGAAGCGUUUGACACCAGUGUUGUUUUUCUGAAAAUCAAUUAAAGAACUGUUUAUGCUAAGCUGUUUAGACUUUAUCAGCUAUCUGUUUAGUUUUGAGCUUUUCUUUAAUGCACUUUUCAGUUAACAAGUCAACAUCAAUUUCUUUUGCUGUAAAAAAGCUUGAGGAAGGUGGCUUGAGAUUCGUCUUAAGUGUUUAUAGCCUCUUGCCUAUGCAGUCGGAGAGAUUGAGGUCUGCAGCGUAGAUCCUUCGGGGCUAAAUGCAUUUGUGCUAAGUUAUAGCAUUUUAUAGACAACUUGUUGACUAUGAUUUGUCUAUGUAGCUUACUCGCUUAUGUUAUUUUACCUACGCUUAGGAUGUUGAGUCAUCACACAUCUCU
rnacentral:rRNA from 1 species